rnacentral:rRNA from 1 species
GUGGGGAAUAUUGGACAAUGGGCGAAAGCCUGAUCCAGCCAUGCCGCGUGGGUGAAGAAGGCCUUAGGGUUGUAAAUCCCUUUCAGCGGGGAAGAUAAUGACGGUACCCGCAGAAGAAGCCCCGGCUAACUCCGUGCCAGCAGCCGCGGUAAUACGGAGGGGGCUAGCGUUGUUCGGAAUUACUGGGCGUAAAGCGCGCGUAGGCGGACCUGCAAGUCGGGGGUGAAAGCCCGAGGCUCAACCUCGGAACUGCCUUCGAUACUGCGGGUCUUGAGUCCGGGAGAGGUGAGUGGAAUUCCUAGUGUAGAGGUGAAAUUCGUAGAUAUUAGGAAGAACACCAGUGGCGAAGGCGGCUCACUGGCCCGGUACUGACGCUGAGGCGCGAAAGCGUGGGGAGCAAACAGG